UAAUGGUUAUCGAAUUGGAAUCCGUUGGUGUGUUAUUCCGCUUUUGACUUUUGACGAUGUUUGAAUACUGAAUGGGGUAGAAUAACUCCAUUUUUCUUUUGCCUUUUUUUCAUUCUUGCUCUUUUUUUUUUUUUUUUUCCAAUGUUGAGUGAUUAUUCUGAUCUUAUCAUCCAUCUCGAUGGAGCUUUCGAGUCUCUCCUAAAUCCGAUUUAAGCUUGUGGGAGAGUCGCUAUUCAAUCUUCAUUACGGGGGAAAAGGCACAUCUGGAGAGCAAGGAGGAAAGAAGAUUAACUAAAGAUUAGAUACAAAACUAAUCCACCCCCAUUCUCUCUUAAUAAGGACUCAAUUUUCAUGUCUUUCUUCUCACGACUUCGGGAUUUUCCUUAACCAUCUGCAAGUGCUCGACCUUCUUACACAUUACUAUUUUACCCCCGAAUCUUCGGUAUUCCAUUUCCUUUGCAACAUCGGGGUUCUACUGGGUUGGAUGAGAGCCAUUCACCAUAAUAUCAGUUGUGAUUGCUGCGAGUAUCAUGACGAGCGCGCUUCGCUGGUGAACGGUUGGUACUCCCGGUGUCAGGCCCACGGGUAGAGCGUGUCUUUGUGAUCUAUUAUUCGGCUCGGGGAAUUCACAGUCAGUCUCAAAUAUAUCUUUAAAAUUAAAAAAAUAAAAAUUCAAGUCUAGCUAGACUUCAUUAUGAUUCGAAAUAAAAGCCUUAGGGGCACCCACAAAUCUCGGUCGAAGUUCCCUCAACCCACUUUCCAGCAUCAGCUUUAGCUGGUCGCAGUGUUUCCUCGCCUUUUCCAAGUCAUUUCGAUACUUUUGAAUGUCCCGGUAA
rnacentral:sRNA from 1 species